rnacentral:rRNA from 1 species
GACGAACGCUGGCGGCGUGCUUAACACAUGCAAGUCGAACGGAAAGGCCCUGCUUUUGUGGGGUGCUCGAGUGGCGAACGGGUGAGUAACACGUGAGUAACCUGCCCUUGACUUUGGGAUAACUUCAGGAAACUGGGGCUAAUACCGGAUAGGAGCUCCUGCUGCAUGGUGGGGGUUGGAGAGUUUCGGCGGUUGGGGAUGGACUCGCGGCUUAUCAGCUUGUUGGUGGGGUAGUGGCAUACCAAGGCUUUGACGGGUAGCCGGCCUGAGAGGGUGACCGGCCACAUUGGGACUGAGAUACGGCCCAGACUCCUACGGGAGGCAGCAGUGGGGAAUAUUGCACAAUGGGCGGAAGCCUGAUGCAGCAACGCCGCGUGCGGGAUGACGGCCUUCGGGUUGUAAACCGCUUUCGCCUGUGACGAAGCGUGAGUGACGGUAAUGGGUAAAGAAGCACCGGCUAACUACGUG